ensembl:lncRNA
CGGGUCGGCCCCGAGGCCGGUGCCGUCGCGCGGCUGGGGCCGCGCGUCAGGGGGGGGGUACUGUGACGACUACGACCUCUGCUGGUUCACCUCCCCCUGCAGCGGGCGGGCCCCGGCGGUCGACGUCACCGGCUUUCUGACACCACCGUCUCAUCAUGCAUUUCACCUGUGUCUCGUUUAGUGCACCUGUUCAUCAUCACUGUUUCCCCCGGUAUAUAUGUUCCCUCUGCUCCCCCUGUCUUUGUGUGUGAUUGUGCUCUGCCACUGUGUUUAUGUAUGCGUCUAUGUAAGACGCUCGUGCUGUAUAUUUUGUUCCAGUUCUAUAUAAAAACCUUCAUCCGCCACGCCUUCUCCGGUUCCUCCUUGCUUCCUCAACCUCCGCCGUGACAUCCAUUCAUUAAAAAUUGCUCUAUUGGGCUCUAAUGGAUCGUAAUAAAUCAAAACAGACAGUUGAAAUGAAGAUCAAUGAUGAGAUAACCCAUUCCCAGAUUUCUCAGAUUACACCAAAACAGUGUUCUGCCAUGAGUGUUGAUCAUCCCAGUUGCUCCUGGUGUGUUUUGCACUGUGUUCAAUGAUGUGUUAACAAAUGAUACGUGAUCAGAUGCUUAAUAAAACACAUGCAUAUCCUGCAAAGGAAGUAACCUACUUUUGCAAUGACAGGAUCUGGAUUUUUUUUUUUGUUUUAAGAUGCUUAACAUCUCAGGUUUUUAAUUCUGCUGUACUCCUAACACCAACAUAGUGUUUUUAACAUUGAUUCUGUUAUGAACAUGUUUUGUGAACAACAGAUGUAGACAAUUCUAAAAUGCUUACACAUCGGUCCAUUUACAGAAAUGCAGAUUUAACUAAAUAGAAAAAGUAAGUUCGAAAAAUGCAACUUAAGGAAAAACAGACAAUAACAGUAUCAUUGUAUAGCCUAAAUGUUUCUUUAUAUGAUCAACACUUACAGGAAACGCCAGUACCAGUACAGAGUCCAUGUGCAUGGAUACAGGGUCAAUUUAGGUUCAUGUAUAGUUAGGGUUUCCCCAAAUAGGUAUAUGUUAAACUGCUGGCCAGCCGACGUACUGGAGAUCAGUUCCGCCUCAUUUCGACCCUAUUCGCGGGAUCUCUGCGCCUACUGGCUCCUGCUCAAUUUAACCUCUGCGGUUUGAUGCUUUAAAAGCCAGAAUACAGCGUUUCUGUGGCCCAUACACACUGUGUGUUCUUGGCUGAGGGCUUCGGGUCCGCGUUAUCUUGAAGGUACUCUACUGUCUUGAUCCUGUAUCCAUGCACACGGACUCUACUGACGUUUCCUGUAAGUGUUGAUCAUAAAUAAACAUUUAUAAUAAUACAUAUAUAUAUAUAGCUCCGGAAAAAAUUGAGACCACUUCACCUUGUUCUUUCCUUUCCAAAAAAGUUGAAAAGUAAAGUUUUAGUAAAGGAAAAGAAGCAACCAAUUUGCAGUAGUCCCUUAAUUUUUACCCUUCUGUCCCUCACUCAAAACUUUCCUUUUCGACUUUUUUGAAAAGGAAAGAAAAGGGUGUAGCGGUCUUUUAAUAUAUGCUGUAUAUAUAACAGAUUGUAAAAUGUCAAUGAGUUGACACGGAAAGUAAUGAGCUGUGAGGUACGAGGAAAUUGGCUUAGUGUGUAGUUUACUUUUGUCUCCUAUUUAAACUGUUGACACUUUAGGACUGCCUUUUCGAAAUCAGGUUACACACUGUACUUUACCACGCAAUAACCUAUGUGUGUCA